GUGAGAUUUGAACUCUAAUAAUUCAUUCGGAUAUAUGCAAAGAUUAGUACUUAGCUAUCAAUGACUAAUAAUUUCAACUUUAAUGAAUGAUGAUAAUCAAUAAUUAAGAGUAUUAUAAAUUGCAGAUAAACAAUACAAGAGUUUUCAACAAAACCAUAUCAUAGAUGAUGAAGUGCAAAUGGGUAAAAGAAGUAUGCUUAAGCAGGAAUUUUCUUUAUCUAUGCCUGAUUU
rnacentral:misc_RNA from 1 species